GAACCUCCUGCUCACUCUGGCUGCUAGCCUAGCUACUCCUUUUAUUGCUCACCGCCGGCAACAAAUCCCGCGCGGCUCCGUCCGGCGGCGGGCUCGCACGCCCUCCAGGACAUGAGCCCCCUCGCGCUCUUGCAGGGGAGGUCCUCAUCGUUGCCAGCACAGCCCCCUCCGGAGGGCCCGGCGUUCCCGCCGCCGGCGGCCGCUGCCUCGCCGCCCCUUUGCUCCAGGUACUGCAGCCACCACCACACACAGACGAGGCAAUAGGGUACAGAACAGUUGGAUCUCGUG
rnacentral:lncRNA from 1 species